rnacentral:rRNA from 1 species
AGAGACAGCAGUAGCCGCGGUAAUACAGAGGGUGCGAGCGUUAAUCGGAUUUACUGGGCGUAAAGCGUGCGUAGGCGGCUUUUUAAGUCGGAUGUGAAAUCCCUGAGCUUAACUUAGGAAUUGCAUUCGAUACUGGGAAGCUAGAGUAUGGGAGAGGAUGGUAGAAUUCCAGGUGUAGCGGUGAAAUGCGUAGAGAUCUGGAGGAAUACCGAUGGCGAAGGCAGCCAUCUGGCCUAAUACUGACGCUGAGGUACGAAAGCAUGGGGAGCAAACAGGAUUAGAUACCCCCGUAGUCCCUGUCUCUUAUAA